rnacentral:rRNA from 1 species
UACAGAGGGUGCAAGCGUUGUUCGGAAUUAUUGGGCGUAAAAGCGCGUGUAGGCGGCCGUGCAAGUCGGGGUGUGAAAGCCCUCGGCUCAACCCGAGGAAGUGCGCCCGAAACUGCAUGGCUUGAGUACCGGAGAGGAUGGCGGAAUUCCCCAAGUAGAGGUGAAAAUUCGUAGAUAUGGGGAGGAACACCGGUGGCGAAGGCGGGCCAUCUGGACGGAUACUGACGCUGAGACGGCGAAAAGCGUGGGGAGCAAACAGGGAUUAAGAA